rfam:Pseudomonas sp. FeS53a scaffold6.1, whole genome shotgun sequence.
GCGACGAAUGCCGGUGGAACUACACCCUCCAACGGUCGAGAUGCGGGUUCGAAUCCCGUCGGCUCCAAUACUGCGGGGCCGUAGUUCAACGGUAGAACACGAAAACGUUUCACCACCACUUGUCGUCGCACC